GCCCAGACUCCUACGGGAGGCAGCAGUGAGGAAUAUUGGUCAAUGGUCGGGAGACUGAACCAGCCAAGCCGCGUGAGGGAGGAAGGUACAGAGUAUCGUAAACCUCUUUUGUCAGGGAACAAAGGCGGGGACGUGUCCCCGGAUGAGUGUACCUGAAGAAAAAGCAUCGGCUAACUCCGUGCCAGCAGCCGCGGUAAUACGGAGGAUGCGAGCGCUAUCCGGAUUUAUUGGGUUUAAAGGGUGCGUAGGCGGGAUGCCAAGUCAGCGGUAAAAAUGCGGUGCUCAACGCCGUCGAGCCGUUGAAACUGGCGUUCUUGAGUGGGCGAGAAGUAUGCGGAAUGCGUGGUGUAGCGGUGAAAUGCAUAGAUAUCACGCAGAACUCCGAUUGCGAAGGCAGCUUACUAAACUGUGACUGACAUUGAUGCUCGAAAGUGUGGGUAUCAAACAGGAUUAGAUACCCUCGUA
rnacentral:rRNA from 1 species